UAAGCGGAGGAAAAGAAACUAACAAGGAUUCCCCUAGUAACGGCGAGUGAAGCGGGAAGAGCUCAAAUUUGUAAUCUGGCGGCCUUUGGUCGUCCGAGUUGUAGUCUCGAGAAGCGUUUUCUGCGCCGGACCGUGUACAAGUCCCUUGGAACAGGGCGUCGUAGAGGGUGAGAAUCCCGUCUCUGACACGGACCGCCGGUGCUUUGUGAUGCGCUCUCAAAGAGUCGAGUUGUUUGGGAAUGCAGCUCAAAACGGGUGGUAAAUUCCAUCUAAAGCUAAAUAUUGGCGAAAGACCGAUAGCGAACAAGUACCGUGAGGGAAAGAUGAAAAGCACUUUGGAAAGAGAGUUAAACAGUACGUGAAAUUGCUGAAAGGGAAACGCUUGAAGUCAGUCGCGUCUCCCGGGACUCAGCCGUGCCCCCCAUCCGGCACGGUGUACUUCCUGGGUGUGACGGGCCAGCAUCGAUUUCGGCCGUCGGAGAAAGGCCUUGGGAAUGUGGCACCUUCGGGUGUGUUUAUAGCCCUGGGUCGCAUGCGACGGUUGGGAUCGAGGACCGCAGCACGUUUCUCCUUCAAUGGGGCUCGGGGUUCGCCCACGCAAACGUUGCUUAGGAUGCUUGGCGUAAUGGCUUUAAGCGACCCGUCUUG
rnacentral:rRNA from 1 species